rnacentral:rRNA from 1 species
GACGGGGGCCCGGCACAAGCAGCGGAGCAUGUGGUUUAAUUCGAAGCAACGCGAAGAACCUUACCAAGACUUGACAUCCCCUGACAGCUGUUGAAAGGCAGUGUCUCUUCGGAGCAGGGGAGACAGGUGGUGCAUGGUUGUCGUCAGCUCGUGUCGUGAGAUGUUGGGUUAAGUCCCGCAACGAGCGCAACCCUUAUCCUUAGUUACCAGCACGUAAAGGUGGGGACUCUAGGGAGACCGCCGGGGACGACUCGGAGGAAGGUGGGGACGACGUCAAAUCAUCAUGCCCCUUAUGUCUUGGGCUACACACGUGCUACAAUGGCCGCAACAGAGGGAAGCGAGAGCGCAAGCUGGAGCAAAACCCUAAAAGCGGUCCCAGUUCGGAUUGUGGGCUGCAACCCGCCCACAUGAAGUCGGAGUUGCUAGUAAUCGCGAAUCAGCAUGUCGCGGUGAAUGCGUUCCCGGGCCUU